rnacentral:tRNA from 1 species
GUGGUUGUAGCUCAGUUGGUUAGAGCUCCUGUCUGUGGCACAGGAGGCCGCGGGUUCGAGCCCCGUCUACCACC